GUUGCAAGGAUUGCGAAAUCUGUGAAUUGUCUGAUCAUUUCCUAGAUCUAUCCAGGGACAUCACCCAUUUACUAGUUGAAGGUGACCUCGUAAGUAAAUGUGUAGAUGUACACAUUGGGGAGUCGGUGUUUCUUGUUUUUAGAUCCCCUCAAUAUCUUAUCUGUGACAACGGCUGCGAUAUGCAGAUGAGAAGUAAACUUUUCGUAUACCUUUGUGAACGUUAUCAAGUUAAAUUGGGGUUUACACCAUUUUACUAUCCUCAAGCAAAACUCUGCUGAACGAGUGAAUCGUAUGGUUAAACAGCAGAUUUCAACAUUCUUUAAAGACAAACAAAAACAUGGGGAUGGUAAUUUAGCGUCAAUUGCCUGUGCACUUGGUAAUUCGAGACAUACCAUACCGUGCAAACUUCGAAAAAGAAUUUCCGCGGUGGUAUUUGCGACCUGGACUUGACUAAUGACGAACUUAUUAGGGCCGGUAUUAUAAAGCCCGCUUGAACGCAGAUUGGCGUUCAACCGUAGUUUGAGUGCGAUUGCGCGUAUUAUAAAAGCCGCUUAGUCUUUAACCAGAGCUCAAUCUCCGAUUGUAGUCAACCCGCCAAUUUUCUCGGGUUUUGGCGCCCAAACGGAGAUUAGGCGCGCGAACGUGUAAUGAAUUGAGGUUAUCGUAACCAUUUUGUUUUGUGUCAUUAGGGAGUUUGCGGACACGUAUUUUUCGUUACGUUAAACGUCCAUUUUUUCUUAUGAUAUAACGUAAGGGAAAUUUAGUGAAACGCGCUUGCGGAUAAGUUUAUUGUUUAUGAUUUUAAAGAUCCUAACCUUACACUUACUAUGUUGUGAGAAUGGCGAAGCUGUCUGAAAAUGAAAUACUUUUGUUAGAAGAUGAUGAUAUUGCGAGUGCUAUCCUAUACGAGACUUUUGAAAGAGCAAUUGCAGAAAGGAAAAAACUUUUUUCCAUAAAUAAGUUUAAUUUUGAUUCCAUUCCCUUAGAUAAUUUUAGUUUCCUAUUCCGAUUUGAGAAAAAUGACAUACAACAUUUGUACUCAGCUUUGCAAUUACCCAACAGGUUUGAAACAUGUGACCAGCACAUUCUGGAUGGUAAUACCUAAAAAGUAUGUCAUUUACCGCUCUUCUUAAGUAUUGAAGGGAUAUGCAUGUUGCUCCAACGAUUAGCUUAUCCUAACAGAUUGAAGGAACUACAACAGCUGGAAUUUGAUUGAUUUACGUUAUUUAUAACCAUAAGGUAUAAAAGUGUCUUUAUACGGUACAAAUCUUAAGCUUUUUUACGUUAUAAGUUAUAACAAGUUCUAUAACAUGAAAUAUACAUCCGCAAACUCGUCAUUAUUUCUAUUUAUAACGAAAUGGAAAUAAUUGGAAUUGGACGUGCAAGGGAUCGGUUAGAGUGCGCAGUAAGCGACGAUGACUCUUCAUCAUAGAAUGAGUUAAUUAGAAGAAGAGCAGAAAACGUGUUGAUCAUUUCGACAAAGUGGGAUGAAAAGGAAUUUCGGCAGAGAUUUCGGUUAUCCAAGGAUACUGUUAGAUUCCUGGAAAACAGGAUUGUAGGACUAAUUGUCUGUCAUCCUACCCCUUGAUCUACCCUACCUUCUAUAGCUAGCUGUACUAAUUCUCCGUGUCUGAGCACGUGUCGUAUCAUUUUAUCUCGUCUUCUCUGUACGGUUUUCCACAACGGGGUGUUUAACUAAUUAAUAAUUUACAAUCAAUGGUGAGGCUGUCAUCGUCACCAGUUCCAGCUUCAUUACCAGUGAGGUUUUUCACUGUACCAGCGACUUCGUCAUACAGGAGCGUUAAGCUCGGCUUAAUAUCAAUCGAGCCGCAGCCACCCCUCGUUUUAUACCUGCUGGCCGCUCACCGCCAACACUUUCCUCAUUUCUGAUGAGCGUCCGCGUCCGUAAAAGCGACUGGCUUGUCUGUCAUUGGCACAGUGGCUGGCAGAACAGCGCUGCGUAAAACGAUUUCGUAAGGUGAUGAACAUAUCAGCACAGUGACAGUGGCAAAUGGCACAUAAACGAAAAGAACGAACGGGGCCGGUGCACCGAUGCGAAAAGCUGUCAGCUGACGUAUCGACCACUGAAACUUUGCGCUCUGAUUGGUCCUCGGUCCGCCCGCAGUGUUGCCAUCCUAGAGAUCGUAAACGUAAACGGAGAUUAACCAAACGCUCUUCCAAAGGUGUUUAUAAUACGCAACCGCUCUCAAUAUUGGUUUGACGUUCAAUCGCCGUUUUAUUAAUCUCCGCUUGAACUAUGCUUUUAACCGGCCCUUAAAGAAGCUGGGUGGUGCUCAAUUCUAUGCAAGCUCUCAAAGUUCUCAAAAUUUAUGGUCAAUCGAAUCAACCGCUGUGAGGAGUCUUAAGCCCUUUUAUUCUACAACCCUGGUCUCCUAGGUACUAUGUUAACAUAUUUUUUUGUAUUUUUCAGAACACACAAUGUCCGUCGCAUCAGAAAACGAAAUUAGAGUUUUCGAGGAGGUGGUGGAGGUCCAUCGGGACACCGAAAGCGUUGGCGACGUCCCAAAGACAGAUGUAACUCAGAACCAUAAAGAACGUGGACCUAGAUGAGUACCUCGAGGUGGACACGGUCGAGGGGGUGGACGAAAACGAGGACGACCACAAGGAAGAGGCAGACAUGGUAAGGAGGGACAAGGAUAAGCAAAGAAGACCAUCAGCCCACCGGCACCGGCUCCGCCCGCAUCGGUGC